CAUGGCAAGCCAUAUGUAAAACAUUCAUAUUUCUAGAAUAAACAAUAAUGCAAGUGACUUUAGAAAACAUAGUGUUCAAUGUGUCUUUGAUGGCUGUUACACGAGACUCCCAACUUCUAAAGGCACAUUGCACACAUGUAUUGACACAAUGUUUCUUCAAUGCUGUGAUGUCACCAUUCUAGUCAACGAAUCGCCAACCGAGUCGAAAUAGCUGACUCGUCUUCAAACUCAGUAGCUUCUUUCCUUGAAAUUUCUCAUUUUAUUCCUCCUUCUUCUAUCUCUACCUAUAAAUACUAACACCAUUUUUUCUCCUAACUUCAAAUUCAAACACCCUUGAUUUAUUCAACUUUUUCAUCAAUUCCUAGCUUUUUUUUCCCAAAAAAAAUAAUGAAUAUUUUCAACUUUCCCAUUCUGAGUAUUUUGUUCAUGGCAAUUUCUCAUAUGGCUCAUGCUCAGAAUUUGGAUCUUUCUCCAGCAACUGCUCCUACCAGUGAUGGCACUAAUCUAGAUCAAGGAAUUGCUUAUUUUCUUAUGGUGAUAGCGUUGGUGAUUACAUACAUGCUCCAUUGAUUUUUUCUUCUUUUUCUUUUAAUUUUUGCCGAAGGAAAUUCCAUAAAUGUUAUGUAUAUGUAAUUAUUAUUAGUGAAAUUUAGUAUUAAUAUUCA